rnacentral:tRNA from 1 species
GGGCCGGUAGUUCAACCUGGUAGAACGUCCGCUUGGCUAGCGGAAGGCUCCGGGUUCAAAUCCCGGCCGGUCCA